rnacentral:rRNA from 1 species
CCUACGGGAGGCAGCAGCAGGGAAUAUUGCACAAUGGGCGAAAGCCUGAUGCAGCGACGCCGCGUGCGGGAUGAAGGCUUUCGGGUUGUAAACCGCUUUCAGGAGGGACGAAAAUGACGGUACCUCCAGAAGAAGGCCCGGCCAACUACGUGCCAGCAGCCGCGGUAACACGUAGGGGCCGAACGUUGUCCGGAUUUAUUGGGCGUAAAGGGCUCGUAGGCGGUUUGACAAGUCGGUCGUGAAAGCCCGGGGCUCAACCCCGGGACGCCGGUCGAAACUGUCAUGACUAGGGUCCGGUAGAGGUGAGUGGAAUUCUCGGUGUAGCGGUGAAAUGCGCAGAUAUCGAGAGGAACACCAGUAGCGAAGGCGGCUCACUGGGCCGGUACCGACGCUGAGGAGCGAAAGCGUGGGGAGCAAACAGGAUUAGAUACCCUGGUAGUCCACGCCGUAAACGUUGAACACUAGGUGUGGGGGACUUAUCCACGUCUCCUGUGCCGCAGCUAACGCAUUAAGUGUUCCGCCUGGGGAGUACGGCCGCAAGGCUAAAACUCAAAUGAAUUGACGG